AGAUGUGAGGGCAAUCUGGCUGCGACAUCUGUCACUCCAUUGAUCGCCAGGGUUGAUUUGGCUGAUCUGGCUGGCUAGGCGGGUGUCCCCUCCUUCCCUCACUGCUCCAUGUGCAUCCCUCCCGAAUCUGUGCGCUCGGUGGAAGAGGACGACGUCCCAGGUAUAGAAGGAGUGUACCAAGGUCUCCAGUCUUCGGUACGGGGUAUACGAUAGCUGUGCUCCCCUGUUAGAACCUCCAAACAAGCUCAAGGUCCAUUUGUAAGAGAACAUAGGUUGUAUUUUGACUGUGCUGU
rnacentral:snRNA from 1 species